UACAGAGGGUGCAAGCGUUAAUCGGAUUUACUGGGCGUAAAGCGCGCGUAGGCGGCUAAUUAAGUCAAAUGUGAAAUCCCCGAGCUUAACUUGGGAAUUGCAUUCGAUACUGGUUAGCUAGAGUGUGGGAGAGGAUGGUAGAAUUCCAGGUGUAGCGGUGAAAUGCGUAGAGAUCUGGAGGAAUACCGAUGGCGAAGGCAGCCAUCUGGCCUAACACUGACGCUGAGACACGAAAGCGUGGGUAGCAAACAGG
rnacentral:rRNA from 1 species